CUUCCGUAGGUGAACCUGCGG
rnacentral:rRNA from 1 species